rnacentral:rRNA from 1 species
UACGGAGGAUGCGAGCGUUAUCCGGAUUUAUUGGGUUUAAAGGGUGCGUAGGCGGACUAAUUAGUCAGCGGUGAAAUUUUGCGGCUCAACCGUAAAACUGCCGUUGAAACUGUUAGUCUUGAGUGCGGUAGAGGUAGGCGGAAUGUGUGGUGUAGCGGUGAAAUGCUUAGAUAUCACACAGAACACCGAUUGCGUAGGCAGCUUACUGGAGCGCAACUGACGCUGAGGCACGAAAGCGUGGGGAUCGAACAGGAUUAGAUACCCUGGUAGUCCACGCUGUAAACGAUGAUCACUAGCUAUCGGCGAUAUACAGUCGGUGGCACAGCGAAAGCGUUAAGUGAUCCACCUGGGGAGUACGCCGGCAACGGUGAA